UACAGAGGGGGCAAGCGUUAUUCGGAAUUAUUGGGCGUAAAGGGCGCGUAGGCGGCCUGGCAAGUGGAAGGUGAAAUCCCUCGGCUUAACCGAGGAACUGCCCUCCAAACUGCUAGGCUUGAGGCCGGGAGAGGUGAGUGGAAUUCCCAGUGUAGCGGUGAAAUGCGUAGAUAUUGGGAGGAACACCAGUGGCGAAGGCGGCUCACUGGACCGGUACUGACGCUGAUGCGCGAAAGCGUGGGGAGCAAACGGG
rnacentral:rRNA from 1 species